rnacentral:rRNA from 1 species
AACGAACGCUGGCGGCAGGCCUAACACAUGCAAGUCGAGCGAAGCCUUCGGGCUUAGCGGCGGACGGGUGAGUAACGCGUGGGAACGUGCCCUUUGGUACGGAAUAGCCCCGGGAAACUGGGAGUAAUACCGUAUGUGGCCGACAGGCGAAAGAUUUAUCGCCAAAGGAUCGGCCCGCGUUGGAUUAGGUAGUUGGUGGGGUAAUGGCCUACCAAGCCGACGAUCCAUAGUUGGUUUGAGAGGAUGAUCAGCCACACUGGGACUGAGACACGGCCCAGACUCCUACGGGAGGCAGCAGUGGGGAAUCUUAGACAAUGGGGGAAACCCUGAUCUAGCCAUGCCGCGUGAUCGAUGAAGGCCUUAGGGUUGUAAAGAUCUUUCAGUGGGGAAGAUAAUGACUGUACCCACAGAAGAAGCCCCGGCUAACUCCGUGCCAGCCGCCGCAGUAAGAC